CGCCCCUGCCCCGGUUUUUUUUCCUUCUCUACUUCUUUGAAUAAGAUUUUUCUAGAAAGAGCAAUCAAAUUAUUGGGAAGCUGCAACCAGAAACAUUGCAGGACUUUGAGAGAACAUCUCCAGCUCUCAGCCUCCAACCAGUGGCUUCCAUUGGCCAACCUGAUGGGAGCAGAGCAGGGGAUGGGCCAGCAGGCAGUGAGGAGUGUCCCUCAGAAGUCACUGUGAAUUCAAGGAGUCUUCCUUCAGGAAUAUCUAUCUGCAUUUUUUAUAAGACCUAUUCAAAGGGAUACAUUUCUGAUGAGGAGAUUCAGCAUUGGGGACAGGAAAAUGGAACAGUGGAUUUGUCAGAAACCUGCCUCCAGGAUAAAGAGGAGGAGAAAUGUGAUCAGGAGAGCGUGAAGCAGCCAUGGCAGCAGCUGCUUAAUAUGGAAAGAGGGAUCCUAAUUAUUGC